CCUACGGUGUGCAGCAGUGGGGAAUAUUGCACAAUGGGGGAAACACUGAUGCAGCAACGCCGCGUGAGUGAAGACGUCUUUCGGUAUGUAAAGCUCUAUCAGCGGGGAGGAAAAUGACAGUACCUGACUAAUAAUCUCCGGCUAACUACGUGCCAGCAGCCGCGGUUAUACGUAGGGGGCAAGCGUUAUCCGGAUUUACUGGGGGUAAAGGGAGCGUAGACGGCUGCGCAAGUCAGAAGUGAAAGUCCGGGGCUCAACCGCGGGACUGCUUUUGAAACUGCGUAGCUAGAGUGCAGGAGAGGUAAGUGGAAUUCCUAGUGUAGCGGUGAAAUGCGUAGAUAUUAGGAGGAACACCGGUGGCGAAGGCGGCUUACUGGACUGUAACUGACGUUGAGGCUCGAAAGCGUGGGGAGCAAACAGGAUUAGAUACCCUGGUAGUC
rnacentral:rRNA from 1 species